rnacentral:tRNA from 1 species
GCCUGGGUGGCUCAGUCAGUUGAGCAUCUGACUUCGGCUCAGUUCAUGAUCUCGUGGUUUGUGGGUUUGAGCCCUGCAUCAGGCU